rnacentral:rRNA from 1 species
AUUGAACGCUGGCGGCAGGCCUAACACAUGCAAGUCGAGCGAGCGGCGGACGGGUGAGUAAUGUAUGGGGACUGCCCGAUAGAGGGGGAUAACUACUGGAAACGGUGGCUAAUACCGCAUACUAUCGGAUAACCCAUAUGGGAUUAGCUAGUAGGUGGGGUAAAGGCUCACCUAGGCGACGAUCUUUAGCUGGUCUGAGAGGAUGAUCAGGCACACUGGGACUGAGACACGGCCCGGACUCCUACGGAGGCAGCAGUGGGGGAUGUUGCGCAGUGGGCGCAGACCUGAUGCAGCCAUGCCGCGGUUAUGAAGAAGGCCUUAGGGUUGUGUAGUACUUUCAGCGGGGAGGCGUUACCCGCAGAAGAAGCACCGGCUAACUCCGUGCCAGCAGCCGCGGUAAUUC